CGAACGGGUGAGUAAUGCGUGACCAACCUGCCCCAUGCUCCAGAAUAGCUCUUGGAAACGGGUGGUAAUGCUGGAUGCUCCAACUUGACGCAUGUCUUGUUGGGAAAGUGUUUAGUGGCAUGGGAUGGGGUCGCGUCCUAUCAGCUUGUAGGCGGGGUAAUGGCCCACCUAGGCUUCGACGGGUAGCCGGCCUGAGAGGGCGGACGGCCACAUUGGGACUGAAAUACGGCCCAGACUCCUACGGGAGGCAGCAGUC
rnacentral:rRNA from 1 species